UCAAACCAGGUAAAUAAUUUUCUGGAUUUGAUUAUCUCGCUCUCCCUCCGUUGCUCGCUCGCUUGCUCGCUCGCCGCUCGCUCUGUGAAGAAGAAAGUCGAUCCGUACUUCCCCGUCUCAAUCGAAGUUUUAUUCUCGCAGAUCUAGUCCCAGGCCGCAAUAAUGUCGGACAACUCUGGUUGUACCGUUUACGUAGGUCAGUCUUCUUUCUUUCUUGAUUUUAUUUUUGAGAUUUCUUGGUUUUUUUUUCUUUUGUAUAUUUCGCCAGAAUUUACUUUUAGCGCAAGGGAAUGGAACGGAUUCUCUUGGAUCUAUCGGCUGAUUCCUGAAAAGUUUAUUGGAGGAAAACGGAAGGUUUCCUGUGAAGCAAACGGGACCUAGAGAAAAGGAGUUCCGAAUUGUUCUAAGAUGUAAUCUUGAUGAGAGGGUGAGUGACAGAGUUUUAUAUGAUAUUUUAAUUCAAGCUGGACGCUUAGUAGACUUGUACAUUCCUCGAGACAAGGAAACUGAUAAACCCAAAGGUUAUGCAUUUGCGGAGUAUGAAACCGAGGAGAUUGCAGACUAUGCAGUGAGGCUUUUCUCUGGUCUUGUGACUCUUUACAAGCGGACAUUGAAGUUUGCGAUAUCCGGACAGGACAAGCCAGCACAAAGUGCCUCCAUGACGACUACUCCUGGAUCAAAUAUUCCUCAUAAAUCAAGACGUUACACUGUGUCCAAUAUGGAUAGCCCUCAGCAUUCAGUGAAGGUGUCACCAUCCUGCAAGGUUUCAGCUUAUGCUUCAAAUUAUUCUCAAGAGCCAGCUCCCCCUGGUGUAAAACACCACAUUAAUGGGUAUGGAUCACAUUUCAAUGGCAUCAAUUAUGAAUACAGUCGAAGGGUUUUUGGGUCAACAUUGGAUAGCAUUAGCCACUUUAGGUCACGACGGUUUGAUACAACUCACCCAAUUUCAUAUCGUUAUUAAUAAAACCCAUUAUGUGCUUAUCGAAGGAAAACGAAGAAUUGUCUCUUGUUGUACUAUAUUGGCGGGCUACAUAAUUACUCAGGCAAUAGAUGGUGACUUGUUAGUUGAAGGUUAGUGAAAGAUGCUUUGUAGCUUUCAGUUUAGUUUGAGUUUUUAGUAAUUUACUCCAUAGACUUAACUAGCAUUUAGUCCUUGUAUGUUCCCUCAAUGUUGUAGUCCAACUAAAGCUUGUUUCUUUGCCGGGU